UCUUCCUUCCCUUACCCUCUCUUCUCUCCUUUCCCCUUCCCUCCCUCCUGCCCUCUCCCCUCUCCUUCCCUCCCUCCCUCUCUUCCCUGACAGCACUUCCUUGAGGUGAGGAGGGCGUCCCGGAACUUGGGGCUUCAGCCUUGACCUAGCACGGGUCCCCAAUGCUCAGAGCCAGGCUUCAAAGGGGGAUCCGCGCUUCACACAUCAGCCCUUGUGAUGUCCUUGACUUACGGAGGGGAGUGCAGCCCCAGGUUACCUCCAACAGCCUGGUCAACCUUCCAACCUCCAGCAGCCUGGUGAACCUUCCAACCUCCAGCAGCCUGGUCAACCUUCCAACCUCCAGCAGCCUGGUCAACCUUCCAACCUCCAGCAGCCUGGUCAACCUUCCUACCAGCAGACACCUAGCUCCACUGUCACAAAGGGGCUUGGCCGGCUGGAGUAGUAUGAAUUCCCCUCGUCUCCCUCAGCCCCACUCCCUUUCAGCUGGCUCUCGGCUGGGGUGAGCACCCAUGACACACACAGUACCCAGGCGCAGCCAGCAUGCGUGGCGCCCAGUGCACAGAAGUGACCUGGGCAGAGUGCACACAGCUCAAGCCCCUUUUGUGUGGCUCUAGCAGAGUCCCAGGCCUGCCUCCCCCGGGCCCGAACUGGUCACAUGAUGAUGCAGGCGACACAGGUCUGUGGAGCCUCUGCCUCUGGAGGGACAGUGGAGGUCUGCCCCCCAAACUUCAAAUUGCCAAGGGGAGGGAGAGCUGAGUGAGGAAAGGUAAGUGGAGGGUAUCUUGAUCAGAGUGUCCUGGCAUCUAUGACUACUCUGUCAUGUCUGCCGGUGACACAGGCUCUCUUUAUUCCUGUGUGUGCAAGGAAUAGGAAACCUGAAAUUCCUAGGACUUAGGUGUGGCAUCCAUAAUGAGGACCAGCAAGAAGGAGCCAGACCUGGCAGAACCCUCUCCAGGCCAUGAGGGCUCCACUGAGGAGGAAGCCAGUGGUUCCAAGGGAGGCUCUUCCCUGAGGUGACAGAGUCCCCUCUCAGUGUGGGGACUUCACCAGAGGGAAGGUGUCCAUAAAGUCAUCAGGCCUGGCCCCAGACAAACAGGGCUUUAUGGUUAAAUGAGGUUAACCCUUAACUCUCCAGUUCUCUGGGUUUCACAAGCCUGCUGCCCCCUCGCCCACGUGGAUAGGCUUUAUUCACCGUGUGUGGCCAGAAAACCCGUGAUCUUGCCAUGUGCAGCUAGCCUGAACUUGGCCACUUUCUCUGAGGACCCCAUCCAUUUCUCUUCUGUCUGAUGCUAAGCCACCCCUCCAGCCUGCUCAGGGACCACCAUCACCUGCUGAUGAGGACACUGUUGGACGCCACCCCUCGUCCUCUGCCCUGCCUUCAGAUGGCACCUCUCAUGUCAUUAGCUUGGAUACUAAUUUUUAUUCUUCCUGUGUAAGGUUUUUAACCUGCUUGUGUGUCAAUGCACCACAAGCAUGCCUGGUACCAGCAGAGGCCAGCAGAGGGUGUCAGAUUCUAGUUAUAGACUGUGAUUGAGGUGACAGUUGUGAGCUCCCAUGUGGGUACUGGGAAUCGAACCCAAGUUCUCUGAAAGAGCAACCAGUGCUCUUAACCACUGAGCCAUCUCUCCUGGCUUUGCUGCUGUUCCUUAAAACACUGGCUUAUCAGCACAGGCUUAUCAGCUGUCCAUAGUGCUGGCCAGGAUGCCCUAGGAGCUUAUAUUAUGUGGCCCAUUUGUGACGCACUAGUGUGCCACUGGUCUGUGGGUCAGCUAUGCGGUUGUCCAGCCCCCAGCACCCCCAUGGCAGGCAACGUCUCUCGUUUCUUUGUGCUUCUGCCUCCUGACCUGUACCUGACAGGCGGCAGCAGGCACCACUCUUCUCACGGGCUCUGCAGCUCAGGGACUUGAUACGGUGUAGUCUGGAUCCGUGGGCACUCAGCCGGACCAGCUGCAGUCGCUGGUCCUCUGCCUGCCAUGCAGGUUCUGCCAACCAGGUCAGAUGGAGAAAACGCCUCCCCCACGGGAAAAAGGGCAGCCGGGGCCAGCAGGGUUCGGAGUGGACAGUCCUGGGCCUGGAGCCUGUUUGCUUGUGCUCAGGCCCAGCUUCCCGGCCUUGACCCCUCCAGACUCUGCAAAGGAAGGAGUUGAGGUGGCGUCUAGCACCCAAGCAAGCUCCACCAGGGCAGACAGCUGGCAUCUGCAGGGCCUGUGAUCUUUCCUUUAGGCUGGCCCUGUAAUUGGGAUAUGUCUGAGGUUGCCUGAGAACCGGGGUGACAGGCUUGGGGGUGCCCUCUGGGUCAGGGCUACUGUUGUCCUCCCUGGGAGUCUGCUCCAGAUGCUGAUUGGGCCAGGAAGGGGGGAUGGGGCCUGGGGGCAGUGUGAGGUGACCCUUUUCUAUGGACAGUCCUGUGUCCCAGCCACUAUUAGCAGGGACCUGUUAAUGAAAAUUCACACCCAGGUGCUAAUAAACAGUGGGCUGCUCCCAGGCCCUCAGAGAAGAGGCCCUGUGCAGGGAAAGGGGUUGGUCAAUGAGCUCCACUUAGCUGUGAAAAGACUUGCUAAUAACCUUAAUUCCCCAUCCUAAAACACUGGGCCUUUACUUUGCAAAUAGAUUUUCCACACUGGGUUGGCUCCAGGCCAGGAAGACUUCUUCCUGUCCUGAACCAGUUAAGGUACUGGGAGGAGAGUGUCAACCGGAGUUAGAAGUAUUGGAAAAGGGAGUGACCAGUGAAGGUGCGAGAUCCCCCACCCCCUGGUAAUCUCCUCUGGGCCACUCUCUCUGCAGCCAAACACCAGCUUUGUAUAAACUACUCAGGCUUGGACCCUAGAGCUUCAGAACAGAACCCCCCACCCCAGCAUGACCUCCCCUCCUGGCCUGAGCCAGAGUUCUGGAAAAGAUCCCCCAGGUGCCUCCCUUCUCCGCUGCUUAUUCCCGAUCGGAAUUUCACCAGCACAGGUCAGCAAUCAGCAAGACCUCCAAGGAAAACUUCCCUACCAAUGGUAUUUCUAUCUCCGGGCCACGUGGGAGGGAAGUCCUAGCACGGGGACAAUGUCCCGUGCAGCCCCGCUGCCCAGAAUGAAGAGACACGCGCUCUCCUCCCGUGGCUGAGCGCUCCAAUGCCCGCGUCCUACAUGGCCCGAGUCUUGACCUUUAAAGGUAAGAAGACACAAGGCACCGAUGGAGUUGGAUUUCUUACAGUGUUCUGGUUUUAUCCAGUUUCUCCCUAAGUUCAAAAGAGGUGAACUACUUCCUGCCACCUGAGAGCAGCCAGCCCACUCCCCUCCCCUCCACCCCUUGCAGACUGACCCACAGAGAGAUGUCGAGAAUGGAGGGAGGGGCGACGGCGCGGGACCCACAAACACCAACGACACCAGCACAAACGGUUUAUUCACAAAUAAAUAAAUACACACCA